CUAAGGCAGUGCCCCAGUUUGUUUUAUGUUGUCCUAUAUAGUAGGACUUUCCAAAGGUCUCUAAGCCAGUAUCACCUUCAACUACCAAAAGUUACUCUCUUUAGGUGUCCUGGUCAGUGAUCUUCAGUUUCUGAAUUACUUUCAUGGGCAGAUUUAAUGUGAUGCUAAUGAAGCUUAAGCUUUCAGGGUCUCUCGCUUGACCUUGGGGGGGUGAGGGGGAAGCAGCAAUGUGUUUGCAUAAUCACAUGGCUUCGAAAUUUGCAACAGUAAGAAUUUUAAGGGCAAAAGGUUAAGAGCACUGCUCCCCUCCACUCCAAUUUCCUCCAUCACACGUUUUGUUUCAAUAGUGUUACAGAGUCCAGGGCAUGUUGGGGAUCUAGUUAAGGGAAGAUUCAGGUGGGGAUACAUACUAGUUGAGGGAAAGUUAAGUUGGGGAUACGUUUAAUUUGGGUGUGUUCAGAUGUACUUUUGUGGAUUCAGUCUCUCUCAUUCGUAGUGAAGUUAUUGCUGACAACCAAGGCUUCCAGAAAUUUGCUCAGCAUCCACUGUAUUGGCACAAAGGUGUAGUGCCAGAGGCUCUCGGGUGAUGGACUAUCCCACAGCGCGGGAUGCAGGUAGCCUCCGGGUUGGGGACCGGCAUCCAGCCUCCAGUGUGUGGAACCGGAAGCAAGUCUGUAGGAAGUUCUGCCAAUUGCAGUUAUCCCUGCAUUUCGAAAGUUCCAGCCAGUCGCACCACUAGGCUUUUAGGAAAAGCCUACCUUAGCACUCGUUUUCGAUAACCGAAAGAAAUCCGAAGAGGAUCUUUGCCUUGACAAAAGAAGGCGAAAAGAGAAAAUAGAGUUCGGUGUUUGUUUUGCCGCAAGCUGUUGUAGAGGCAGCAUGUGAGAGUGGCCCUGCCAUACUGCUUCCCCGGGAACUACACUCAGCACCUCAGCAUGAGGCUGCCACAGCUUUGAACGGUGUCGGAGAAAGCUUGAUUGGAAUUUGAUGUCUCUGAUGCCAUGAGUGUCUUUCUUCAAGGGCAGUGUAAAUUCAGAAUGGCGGUUGCCACAGAAAACGGAAGUACCUUUUGACAGGUAAGAGCAGAGUAAAAA